AGCUUCCGGAGCAGCUGGGACUGCUGGCGCCCGCCACUACGCUCGGCUAAUUUUUUUGUGUUUUUAGUAGAGACGGGCUUUCACCGUGUUGGCCUAGCGGUUCUCCAACUCCUGACCUCAUGAUCCCCCCGCCUCAGCCUCCCAAAGUGCUGGGAUUACAAGCGUGAGCCACCGCGACCCGCCAACACUCUUGACAACAGUGCUGUGCUAAGAACUUGGGGGACUUCAAAAAGUUCACCAGUUCCUGUGUCCAUGGGUGAAAAGAUUUUCUACAUCUUUCCUUGACUAGAAACAGAAGUCCUGAAACAAGAAUAUAACGUCAGGAGGCCAGAGGCUUUGUCCUGCCUAAUGUGUUAUUUCCACACUGAAUAAAAGCACCUGAGUCCUGGUAAGUCUAAUUUGCUAGGUGUGGCAAUAUGACCAGUGAAAAACAACAAGGGCAGCAUUUCCUGCAGUUCGGUGGCACAGUAUGGUUCAAAGAGGUAUAAAAGGAAGUCACAGGCAUUUUAAAAAGGUUGUACAUCUAGCAAUACCUAACAAAAUAGGAAAUCAACUUGUAUACCAUCUGUUUGAAUCAGGCUUAAGUUGAAGAUAUCUGAAACUACUCUGGCUAUUUAAAGCAGAAAAGGAUUUAAUACAGGAAUUAAGUUCAUACAAAUUUAUUGGAAGGCCGGGAUAACAGGAUCCAGUACCUCAGAAGUAACCCACCCGGAGAAUUUCUACUUCUGUUGUAAUUAAGAAUCUGUAGUACUGUCACUGCAACCAUACGCUCUAGAAAUAUAUUGCUUUAGGUAUGCAACCCAUAGAUUAGAAAACUAUGUACUGUUGACUCCAGAGCCACAUUACAUCUGUUAUAUUGGCACAAGCAAAAAUGGAUGCCUGGAGGCCUUUCAAUAUUCAGAAAUUAAUUAUUGGGCACUGGGAUCUGUGAAAAUGCUGUUGUAGAAAAAUCCAGGGCCCCUGUGAUUAUGCUGACCAACAGAAACGGUAGACCUGUGGCUUUCAAACUACCCUCCUUUCAAAUAUCACGUUACUAUAUUUUAUUGUCCAAACCUAAACCACAUUCUGUGUUCAUCUGCAAAAGAGACUCAGAAAUGUGGAUUUUAGCUUAUUAGCAUCAAAAGUGUAGGAAAGCUUAGUAUUGAUGGUGGUGUGGACAGUGAGCACAAAUCCACCAGAACUCCCACUAUUCUUCUGUUUGUCCAUUUCCUGACCAUUCAUGCUUCUCUUCCUGUACAUACAUUUCCAAACAAUAUUAUCUACAACAAUCAAUUUUCACCCAAUCCAAUGCAAUGAUUCUCCCAUACAAAUAAAACCUACUUAUACUGUUCCCAAAAGAAGCCAAGCUUCUAUUAGUCAUAGACUCCUCUGGAUGACGUCAGUUCCUCUUCCAGUGCACUUAUCUUCCCGUCUACAUAUUUAAUAAAGUUAUCAAAAAACAACACAUACUAUGAAGUGGGAGAAUGGAAUAUAAAAAAGGAAAUAUGUCUACAUAGAAUAAAAUACAUAAAGAAAAAGGAAGUAAAUAUGGCAUUUGUUUAUCUGAAUGGUCAUAAGAUGAUGAUUGGUAUUCACAGCAUCCUUUUUCUACUCUGAAUUUCAUGCUCCUGUUAUAUUCUUAGCUCUAUGGCAUUAGAUGGUGAGUGGGUUAAAGCCAAUCUUCAUUCUUUAUGGGUCUGAGCCACUGGUGGCCUUGGCUAUCUUGAACUGCUGAAAUUGUACAUGAAUUUUUAACUCUGGACAUGGUAAUUUGAUGACACAUCCCAACAAGUCCUGUAAAACACAGAUUCUUACAAGCUGCCUGACACACACUUUAAUACCAACCCUGAAUCCCCUUAAAACCAAGAUCAAUCUUCUAUCCAACAGAGUAACCUCUUUUUUUCUCCUCUUUUUUAAAAAAAGUUUAUGGUCAUAAGGACACCCAAAUAGCCUGUUAGUAGUUUUAACUUCCAGUUGUAGGAACCAGUGUGCUAUCUUGUGGAAAUAUUACUUUCUUGGAAAUUAUAGCCUCUAAAUCAAAAGAGGUCAAUGUUGUGGGAUGAAGAAGGAAAUUUUUGCAAAAGAACACACCCUCA
rnacentral:lncRNA from 1 species